CGUGAGGAACCUGCCUUUCAGUGGGGGGACAACAGUUGGAAACGACUGCUAAUACCGCAUAACAUAUCUGCAUCGCAUGGUGUGGAUAUCAAAGAUUUAUCGCUGAGAGAUGGCCUCGCGUCUGAUUAGCUAGUUGGUGGGGUAACAGCCCACCAAGGCGACGAUCAGUAGCCGGCCUGAGAGGGUGAACGGCCACAUUGGGACUGAGACACGGCCCAAACUCCUACGGGAGGCAGCAG
rnacentral:rRNA from 1 species